UUGAACCACAUUUUAGAAGAAAAAAAUUUUAAUCCUUUUCCAUACCUUCCAAAAUCAAUCUAUUGUUUUUUUUUAUCAUCAACCUCGCGGCCCACGCUGAGGUCCUCCUCGAGCGUGGACCACGAAGAAGAGCCCCUGGACCGCGGAAAAUUAUUUUAUGGAAAAUUAUGAAAAAUUAUUAUGGAAAAUUAUUUUAUACUAAUAAUUAUAAUAUUU
rnacentral:lncRNA from 1 species